CUGACAGGACAGCAUCUGAGUUGUGCCUCCACCGCAGAUCCAAACCGUGAAGAAGACCACCAGCAGCGUGGUAGAAAACAUCAUCUGCCGUGCAUAUGUAGCUGUGUCCCUGAUGGACAGGGCAAAAGUCAUGGCACCACGAAGACCUAAUGAGAGAUUAAAUCUUGGCUGGCUAUUACCAAUCUCAAGGCACAAACCUGCGAACAUCAUCAUGUGCUGGAAGUUGGAGCUGAUCUUGUUUCUACGGCCCAAAUUCAGCAGGAAAGAGAGUGGAUAGAUGUUCGCCGCUCUGCCCAGAAACACGGCCAGCUGGGAGGAGAAGUGUCAAGGAGAAACUGCAGAAAUAAAGCUAAUACUGCACUGACUGCAUCUACAAUCCCUUCG
rnacentral:lncRNA from 1 species